GUGAGGAAUAUUGGUCAAUGGGCGGGAGCCUGAACCAGCCAAGUCGCGUGAAGGAUGAAGGUUUUAUGAAUUGUAAACUUCUUUUGCAGGGGAAUAAAGUACGGUACGUGUACCGUUUUGUAUGUACUCUGCGAAUAAGGAUCGGCUAACUCCGUGCCAGCAGCCGCGGUAAUACGGAGGAUCCAAGCGUUAUCCGGAUUUAUUGGGUUUAAAGGGUGCGCAGGCGGGUUGAUAAGUCAGCGGUGAAAGUUUGCAGCUUAACUGUAAAAUUGCCGUUGAAACUGUCGAUCUUGAGUGCAAAUGAGGUAAGCGGAAUGUGUUGUGUAGCGGUGAAAUGCUUAGAUAUAACACAGAACACCGAUUGCGAAGGCAGCUUACUGGGAUGCAACUGACGCUCAUGCACGAAAGCGUGGGGAUCAAACAGGAUUAGAUACCCUGGUAGUCC
rnacentral:rRNA from 1 species